UGCUUAUGUGGAUGUGUGCCUCUG
rnacentral:piRNA from 1 species